AUGGAAAUUUUACCACAGCCGCUCGCGAUGCACAAACAGGAAGCCAGCAGAAAGUGUGGCAAUUCGCUGUAGCCCGGCUUGACUCCUCCGAGCCACGAGGACAGGGACGGCCAUAAAAGCGGUGCGAGCGCAGUGGGCGGAGGGAUGGAGCUGGGAGCUGCAGGUGAGAGAGGCAGCACUUCUGCAAGAUGAAGUGAUUGCUGAGCUCCAAGUGCCAGCUGAUGGAAGCUCCAGCAGGGAGGGAGGAAAAGGCAAACGAAUGACUCCAACCUGCAGCUGGAGGCACCCCUAUGUGCUUCCACGUUCCCCCCUCCCCACACGCCCCCAGGUGCCCCCUGUACCCCCGCGGUCGUUCAGCACUACGGACAGCUCCCCGCCCGGUGUCACGUGAGGGGCCGCCGCCCCGAUAUAGCGCGGUCACGUGGCGGGGUGGGUGUUGGGGCUGGGGGGGGGGGUGCCGCCGCCCCUAUAUAGCGCGGAGCGGGCGGGCGGCGCGGGCAGCGGGAGCUGCGGGCGGAGCAGCGGCAGCGGUGAGCAUCCCGCCAACCCCCCACCAGCCCCGCUCCUGGGAAGGGGGUCCUGAGCCCCCAUGGGAGGUGUGGGGGUCCGGUUCCCGGGGGGGGGGAAGGGGGAGGCGGGGAGGGGUGUCCUAUGCCGGGAGUGCCGUGAACCUGAAGCAUGACCUACCUCUAAAACGUGAGGGUCCCGUGUCUGGGUGGUGGGGUCCCGCAUGUGCUGGUGGGGGUCCCGUCCGGUGGUCACGGCUGUCCCGUC